UUAAGCGACUAAGCGUACACGGUGGAUGCCCUGGCAGUCAGAGGCGAUGAAGGACGUGCUAAUCUGCGAUAAGCGUCGGUAAGGUGAUAUGAACCGUUAUAACCGGCGAUUUCCGAAUGGGGAAACCCAGUGUGAUUCGUCACACUAUCAUUAACUGAAUCCAUAGGUUAAUGAGGCGAACCGGGGGAACUGAAACAUCUAAGUACCCCGAGGAAAAGAAAUCAACCGAGAUUCCCCCAGUAGCGGCGAGCGAACGGGGAGCAGCCCAGAGCCUGAAUCAGUGUGUGUGUUAGUGGAAGCGUCUGGAAAGGCGCGCGAUACAGGGUGACAGCCCCGUACACAAAAAUGCACAUACUGUGAGCUCGAUGAGUAGGGCGGGACACGUGGUAUCCUGUCUGAAUAUGGGGGGACCAUCCUCCAAGGCUAAAUACUCCUGACUGACCGAUAGUGAACCAGUACCGUGAGGGAAAGGCGAAAAGAACCCCGGCGAGGGGAGUGAAAAAGAACCUGAAACCGUGUACGUACAAGCAGUGGGAGCACGCUUAGGCGUGUGACUGCGUACCUUUUGUAUAAUGGGUCAGCGACUUAUAUUCUGUAGCAAGGUUAACCGAAUAGGGGAGCCGAAGGGAAACCGAGUCUUAACUGGGCGUUAAGUUGCAGGGUAUAGACCCGAAACCCGGUGAUCUAGCCAUGGGCAGGUUGAAGGUUGGGUAACACUAACUGGAGGACCGAACCGACUAAUGUUGAAAAAUUAGCGGAUGACUUGUGGCUGGGGGUGAAAGGCCAAUCAAACCGGGAGAUAGCUGGUUCUCCCCGAAAGCUAUUUAGGUAGCGCCUCGUGAAUUCAUCUCCGGGGGUAGAGCACUGUUUCGGCAAGGGGGUCAUCCCGACUUACCAACCCGAUGCAAACUGCGAAUACCGGAGAAUGUUAUCACGGGAGACACACGGCGGGUGCUAACGUCCGUCGUGAAGAGGGAAACAACCCAGACCGCCAGCUAAGGUCCCAAAGUCAUGGUUAAGUGGGAAACGAUGUGGGAAGGCCCAGACAGCCAGGAUGUUGGCUUAGAAGCAGCCAUCAUUUAAAGAAAGCGUAAUAGCUCACUGGUCGAGUCGGCCUGCGCGGAAGAUGUAACGGGGCUAAACCAUGCACCGAAGCUGCGGCAGCGACGCUGAUGCGUUGUUGGGUAGGGGAGCGUUCUGUAAGCCUGCGAAGGUGUGCUGUGAGGCAUGCUGGAGGUAUCAGAAGUGCGAAUGCUGACAUAAGUAACGAUAAAGCGGGUGAAAAGCCCGCUCGCCGGAAGACCAAGGGUUCCUGUCCAACGUUAAUCGGGGCAGGGUGAGUCGACCCCUAAGGCGAGGCCGAAAGGCGUAGUCGAUGGGAAACAGGUUAAUAUUCCUGUACUUGGUGUUACUGCGAAGGGGGGACGGAGAAGGCUAUGUUGGCCGGGCGACGGUUGUCCCGGUUUAAGCGUGUAGGCUGGUUUUCCAGGCAAAUCCGGAAAAUCAAGGCUGAGGCGUGAUGACGAGGCACUACGGUGCUGAAGCAACAAAUGCCCUGCUUCCAGGAAAAGCCUCUAAGCAUCAGGUAACAUCAAAUCGUACCCCAAACCGACACAGGUGGUCAGGUAGAGAAUACCAAGGCGCUUGAGAGAACUCGGGUGAAGGAACUAGGCAAAAUGGUGCCGUAACUUCGGGAGAAGGCACGCUGAUAUGUAGGUGAAGUCCCUCGCGGAUGGAGCUGAAAUCAGUCGAAGAUACCAGCUGGCUGCAACUGUUUAUUAAAAACACAGCACUGUGCAAACACGAAAGUGGACGUAUACGGUGUGACGCCUGCCCGGUGCCGGAAGGUUAAUUGAUGGGGUCAGCGCAAGCGAAGCUCUUGAUCGAAGCCCCGGUAAACGGCGGCCGUAACUAUAACGGUCCUAAGGUAGCGAAAUUCCUUGUCGGGUAAGUUCCGACCUGCACGAAUGGCGUAAUGAUGGCCAGGCUGUCUCCACCCGAGACUCAGUGAAAUUGAACUCGCUGUGAAGAUGCAGUGUACCCGCGGCAAGACGGAAAGACCCCGUGAACCUUUACUAUAGCUUGACACUGAACAUUGAGCCUUGAUGUGUAGGAUAGGUGGGAGGCUUUGAAGUGUGGACGCCAGUCUGCAUGGAGCCGACCUUGAAAUACCACCCUUUAAUGUUUGAUGUUCUAACGUUGACCCGUAAUCCGGGUUGCGGACAGUGUCUGGUGGGUAGUUUGACUGGGGCGGUCUCCUCCUAAAGAGUAACGGAGGAGCACGAAGGUUGGCUAAUCCUGGUCGGACAUCAGGAGGUUAGUGCAAUGGCAUAAGCCAGCUUGACUGCGAGCGUGACGGCGCGAGCAGGUGCGAAAGCAGGUCAUAGUGAUCCGGUGGUUCUGAAUGGAAGGGCCAUCGCUCAACGGAUAAAAGGUACUCCGGGGAUAACAGGCUGAUACCGCCCAAGAGUUCAUAUCGACGGCGGUGUUUGGCACCUCGAUGUCGGCUCAUCACAUCCUGGGGCUGAAGUAGGUCCCAAGGGUAUGGCUGUUCGCCAUUUAAAGUGGUACGCGAGCUGGGUUUAGAACGUCGUGAGACAGUUCGGUCCCUAUCUGCCGUGGGCGCUGGAGAACUGAGGGGGGCUGCUCCUAGUACGAGAGGACCGGAGUGGACGCAUCACUGGUGUUCGGGUUGUCAUGCCAAUGGCACUGCCCGGUAGCUAAAUGCGGAAGAGAUAAGUGCUGAAAGCAUCUAAGCACGAAACUUGCCCCGAGAUGAGUUCUCCCUGACUCCUUGAGAGUCCUGAAGGAACGUUGAAGACGACGACGUUGAUAGGCCGGGUGUGUAAGCGCAGCGAUGCGUUGAGCUAACCGGUACUAAUGAACCGUGAGGCUUAACCUU
rnacentral:rRNA from 1 species